UCCAACGGUAGAGCGCUGGAUUCCAAAUCCAAUGGUUGGGGGUUCGAAUCCCUCUUGCC
rnacentral:tRNA from 4 species